ensembl:lncRNA
AUUGUUGUUUUUUUUCCUUACACUGUUUCUUACAGAGUCUUAAAACUUACUGCUUCCUCAACUACCGAGGCUGGGCUUGUUGCACUCACUUGAGCUACGGAUCACUGAGUACACUUUGUACCUUUGCAUGCCAGUUUGAGAAAAAUCAAUUUUAGUCUUGCAGAGAUGAAACCAGUGUUGCAGAAGAUCAGUGCACAUUUCCAGGUGCUGCAGGGCACUACCAUCCUGAUGGAGAUUCAACAAAACAUGACAUAGGGGAGGGUCGGGUUGAAGUUUCACGAGAAGGUUCUUCAGCGAGAGAGUGCUCGGCAUUUGGAAGAGUUCAAAAGCAAAAUUGGCCCAGCUGGUGUUAGUGGACAGCUGCAUUAAACUUCCCAUGGGAGCCAGCUGGAAGAGCAUAUGGAACUAACAGAUAUGCUUUGGACUGCAAAUGAAGACAUAUGGUUCCUAAAGCCAGUGCAGAAAUCUGAGGAAAAAGACUUUCACAGGCCACAGAGACUUCAAAACUCUCGCUUGCUUUUGAAGAUUUUUUUCUUUUUCAAGGUAAGUUUAAUAAAUUGUUAAUAUUGCAGGUGUUAAACUGUUGGUAUACAUGUAAUUUUCUGUAAUACAUGGAUAAAAAGCUAAUUUGCUUGUUUUCACAGGAUGCUAUGAGAUUAGUUUUUUAUGUGAUCCCCAAGUGAAAGAUCUGCAUCUAGUCCUCUGAGUGGAUGAAGUUUACAUCCCACUCUGACUGGCCAAUUAAAAUACAGAAAAUUCACUGUUGUUUUACCUCUUUCUUUUCUUUGAAAUGAAUAGCUCAAAAUGUGGUUUCAGAUAUGAAAAAAAAACUUUGUUUUGAAGUAUGCAUGUGUAACUAUUUCUGCUCUAGUACGUCUAGACAGAUAAGGUAGUAAUGGGAAAGGAAAAAAGGAGGAAAGACACUACCUGGG